rnacentral:misc_RNA from 1 species
UCCGAGUUGACCCCGGCAGUCUCCUAUGAGUCCCCACCAUAACGUGCUGGCAACAUAGGACGAGGGUUGCGCUCGUUGCGGGACUUAACCCAACAUCUCACGACACGAGCUGACGACAACCAUGCACCACCUGUUCAGGACCCUUACGGACCCCCCAUCUCUGGAGGAUUUCCCUGAAUGUCAAGCCUUGGUAAGGUUCUUCGCGUUGCCUCGAAUUAAGCAACAUGCUCCACCGCUUGUGCGGGCCCCCGUCAAUUCCUUUGAGUUUCAACCUUGCGGUCGUACUCCCCAGGCGGGGUACUUCCUGCGUUAGCGCCGGCACCCAGAGGGUCGCUCCCCCAGGCACCUAGUACCCAUCGUUUACGGCGUGGACUAC